rnacentral:rRNA from 1 species
UACGUAGGGUGCUCGCGUUGUCCGGAAUCAUUUGGCGUAAAGCGCGUGUAGGCGGUCCGGUAAGUCCGCUGUGAAAGUCGGGGGCUCAACCCUCGAAUGCCGGUGGAUACUGUCGAGCUAGAGUGCGGAAGAGGCGAGUGGAAUUCCUGGUGUAGCGGUGAAAUGCGCAGAUAUCAGGAGGAACACCUAUUGCGAAGGCAGCUCGCUGGGACGUAACUGACGCUGAGACGCGAAAGCGUGGGGAGCGAACAGG